AUUGAACGCUGGCGGCAGGCCUAACACAUGCAAGUCGAACGGUAACAGGAAACAGCUUGCUGUUUCGCUGACGAGUGGCGGACGGGUGAGUAAUGUCUGGGAAACUGCCUGAUGGAGGGGGAUAACUACUGGAAACGGUAGCUAAUACCGCAUAACGUCGCAAGACCAAAGAGGGGGCCCUUCGGGCCCCUUGCCAUCGGAUGUGCCCAGAUGGGAUUAGCUAGUAGGUGGGGUAACGGCUCACCUAGGCGACGAUCCCUAGCUGGUCUGAGAGGAUGACCAGCCACACUGGAACUGAGACACGCUCCAGACUCCUACGCGAGGCAGCAGUGGGGAAUAUUGCACAAUGGGCGCAAGCCUGAUGCAGCCAUGCCGCGUGUAUGAAGAAGGCCUUCGGGUUGUAAAGUACUUUCAGCGGGGAGGAAGGGAGUAAAGUUAAUACCUUUACUCAUUGACGUUACCCUCAGAAGAAGCACCGGCUAACUCCGUG
rnacentral:rRNA from 1 species